UACGGAGGGGGCGAGCGUUAUUCGGAAUUAUUGGGCGUAAAGGGCGCGUAGGCGGCCCGGUAAGUCAAAGGUGAAAUCCCUCGGCUCAACUGAGGAACUGCCUUUGAAACUGUCGGGCUUGAGGCCGGGAGGGGGUAGCGGAAUUCCCAGUGUAGCGGUGAAAUGCGUAGAUAUCAAGUGGAACACCAGUGGCGAAGGCGAGUCCCUGGACAAGACCUGACACUGAGGCACGAAAGCCAGGGGAGCAAACAGG
rnacentral:rRNA from 1 species